rnacentral:rRNA from 1 species
GACGAACGCUGGCGGCGUGCUUAACACAUGCAAGUCGAACGGAAAGGCCCUGCUUUUGUGGGGUGCUCGAGUGGCGAACGGGUGAGUAACACGUGAGUAACCUGCCCUUGACUUUGGGAUAACUUCAGGAAACUGGGGUUAAUACCGGAUAGGAGCUCCUGCUGCAUGGUGGGGGUGGGAAAGUUUCGGCGGUUGGGGAUGGACUCGCGGCUUAUCAGCUCGUUGGUGGGGUAGUGGCUUACCAAGGCUUUGACGGGUAGCCGGCCUGAGAGGGUGACCGGCCACAUUGGGACUGAGGUACGGCCCAGACUCCUACGGGAGGCAGCAGUGGAGAAUAUUACACAGUGGGCGGAAGCCUGAUGCGACAACGCCGCGUGCGGGAUGACGGCCUUCGAGUUGAAAACCGCUUUCGCCUGUGACGAGGCGUGAGUGACGGUAAUGGAUAAAGAAGCACCGGCUAACUACGUG